UGAAUUCAUCUUAUGACAUUGGGUCAAGGCACAGAAUGCCCCCAAUUAUAAUAUCCAUCUAGCAAUAGAAGUUGUAAAAAACGGAGUAGGUCAUAGCUAUUAGCAGUGCCUCUUUCUAUGUCAGUUGCUGUAGGCUUGAUUCAUACAAGGAUUACUUGGGAUCUGCUCAGUAGGUGAUAGAUGGCCGUCAGAACCAGGUGAUUUUUGUUGCCUUGAUGGAAUGAAGUAAUCCUGGGUUGAGGGCUGAGGAAAUCUGUGAUAGAGCUGUAUGAUAGAAGUUUUAUGUAUUCAUAAGAGAACAAAUUUCAUUUAGUCUCCCAUUUACUUUAAAGUUGAGAUGGGUCGCUGUUGUUGUAUUUCUCUUUUUGUUGGUAAGAGAAGGCACAUAUUCUAGACUGAGUUUGAGUCUGGAGUGAUUUGUUCAGACGGUUUUUGACUCCUCAGAAUGAUCUGUGUCCUGUCUGGUCUAAGGAUAUAAGACAAGUGUGGUAAAGAUGAAAAGAAUGGGAGAUACAGCAUGACAUCUGCUGUCUUAAUCUCUUAUUUUUAUUGAUUGGGACAAGGCUUUCUUUUUGUCCUUGAUUGUUAGUAGGACUUCAUCUUGAGCCUCUCUGAACUUCUUGCCUUUGAAUGAGCCUAAUAUUAGGCUCUGUUUGAAUUUACGUUACAGAUUUUGCAGCCAUUGUUGCCUCUUCAUGGUGACAUUCAUCACUGCAUCCUUGGCUAAGAACCAGGUCUCCUGCUCAGUGCUGCAAGGUCUCUUAUUUUCCUGUCAUUUAGGUACUUUGGAGUGUCUUACCUGACUAUUUAUUAUAGCCGUCUACAGCAGCAAUCUAGGACUACUUAAGAUAAAAUAUAGAGUUUUAUUUUAGGGAAGAAGACAGAGAAUACCUUUGCUAUCCAUAGAUCUGUUAAAGAAUAUGUGGAAAUGGAAUAUACUGUAGUUUGAUUACUAAGGUUUUGAUAAAUUUUCAUGAGAAGAUGAAAGUCUGAUUUUUGGAGGAAUGGGACAACUCCUUGAGGUGGACUAUUUGAUUGGUCUUGAAAUAGCACUAUCCAAGUUAUAUAUCUAUAGAUGUGGGGACUGCUAAAGAUUGAAUUUGUGAAAGAUCUCUUUCUAUGAAAGCACUUGUUGGACUGAAAGGAAGCAAAGUAGGAAGAGUAUGGCUACUUUUGAAAUUUAGUGUGUUGGGGAAGAUUGACAA